rnacentral:lncRNA from 1 species
UUGACUCUGCAUGACUGGUCUUCUUUGGCAUAGUUAAGAAGCUGCUCAUUUCUAGAAACAUUGAUUUUGAUGUAACAAAGCAAGAAUGGAGGACUACCUUGCUGUUGGUUUCUUUCUGUUUCUACAGAAACAGGAAAAAGCAAGAGCUACUGGGCAAGGUGUAGUACAAAGGUAUACAUGAAAGCUAAGAGUCAACAAGAAACUACGUUUUUCACUAGAAGGCCUUCUAAUGUGAAGUUACACCAACUGCUGACAUGCCUUCUCUUCCAAAUGCGUACCAAUGGGUUUAUUUCCUAUUCAAGUUGCAGCAAGCAUUAAAGAUUACCCGUGGAGCAUCCCAAGCGGGAAGCCAAGAAAAGGAUCUCUGAAGUUUUUGCUUUCAUGGAAGGCAUUUGCUGACUCCUAAGCAAAACAUGCAGAAGGAAACACAGUGAAACCAAACAGCAAGCAGCUACUAAGCAACUAAAGACCUAAGUAAAGAAUGCUGGCAUCUCAUGGUUCUAGGAAGAUAUGAAAUGGAUUCAGGUUUUCAUCGAGUAAAAGCAGGUCAGGUAAGGACUUAGACUUUUAAUUGUCAGCCUAGAGUAGCUAAACCCAAGGAACAGGAAAGACUGAAAGUGGAUCACCCUCUUCUUGAUAAAGCACAUACUCUGUCAUUACAGGAUGAUGAAAGAGAGAAAACAGAAAAUGAGCAGGGUCAACAUUUAAAGUGAUAUUGGAUGUACAUUUUCCAAAACUGAGAAAAAAGUUCAGAUCAUAGCGUUGAGAAUUUUAUCAAAUUGCAUGAAGUAUACAAACUCACAACAACAACAAUCACAACCACAAAACCAUACCCCUAGGCAUGUCAGAGAAAAAUCUACUGAACUAAAAACAAAAAAGAAAUCUGGAAAGCUGCCAGAAAAUAGUGCACUACAUUCAAAGCAGAAAUAAGAUAACGAAAGCUGACUUUUCAACACAAAGGGAGUAAGUCAGAAAUAAGGAUGAAAUAUAUAGUGUGGAAACGUAAAAAAAAAAAAAAAGAAUUUUCUAACCUUCUAAUAUUUCACUAAAAUAUAAAAAUAAAAUAAUGACAAUUUUUUCUCUAGGAGAUGAGCACUGAAAUUGCUACUGUAGGAGUGUUAUAGGCAGAUUGAUAAUGAUCAUAAAUGAAGCAUGGUUAUAAGAGUUAAUGAAGAACAGUGAUAUGGUAAAUAUAGGGGAAAGCUUCAAUGAAUAUUUACUGCUUUUAAAAUUGUGUAGGAUUUAAAAUGUAUAUGGAAUCAAAAUAUAUGACAACAGUUUGUAGAAAGAGUAAAUGAAUUUAAAGUGUUGUGGGGUCUUUGUAUUAUUUAUGAAAUGCUUAAGGGCUAACUUAAGGCUCCAAUAAGUUAAAAUGCAUGUUAGGAGCUCUAAAAGAAACUUGAAAUAAUAACCAAAGAUGAAAAUUAAACACCUAUUAAGUUAAAUAAUAUAAUACUAGCCAAAUAAGCUAAAUUUAUACAUAUAAAUGGCCAAACGAAGGUAGGAACAAGAAACAAAGAAACAAAGACUAGAUGGCAUAAUAAAAGGAAAUGAAUAGCAAGAUGUCAGAUUUAAUCCCAGAUAUAACAGCAAUUAAAUUUAGUAUAAAUAAACUAAAUACUCCAAUUAAAGCGGAAAGAUCAGAUUGUAUAAAAAUAAAGAUAUUCAUAAACAGGGAAAAAUAAACAAUCAUUUGACACUUCACGGAAGUAUAAUGACACAAAAGGUUGAAAUUAAAAGGAUCAAAAAGAUACACUAUGCAAACAAGAGAGUUCCAUAUAGCUAGAUUCAUUGACUGAGUAGAAUUUAAAUCAAGAAGUAUUACUGAGUUAAAAAUAAACAUUUCAUAAUAGCAAUUCCAUAAUUGCUACUUUAGUGAAAAAAAACUAUCAUAAAUCUGUAUGUUCCCAAUAGACUCAAAAUAUAAAAUUAUCAGUGAAAAAAAAGAAUAAAAGAAAAGUCUACAUUACAGUGAAAGGCUUAAAAAUAGCUGUCUUACAAACUCACAGACAAGUUGACAAAAAAUUAGUAGAUGUACAGAGAAAUUGAGAAACAUUACAAUCAAAACUGUUCAAUUUGAAAUAUAUAUAUGUGUGUAUAUAUGUAUAUGUGCAUGUGUAUAUAUGUACAUAUAUAUAUAUAUAAAGUACCCACAAAUCAAUAAGAAAAAUACUGUAAAGACAAUUUCUCCAAAAUGGAUGUUCUGAAUAAGUAUUUCCCAAAAAACAACAGUGAAAUAUAAUGAACUUUCAAACAGGUGGUGAACUUCAGUAGUAAUUUUAGAAAUGCAAAUGAAGACCAAAAUGUGAUACAAUACACAAUCAACAGAAUAACAAAAAUUAAAAGACAUCAAUACCCUGGAAACAUUAAGCAUAUAUAUAUAUAUGCUCAUAAACCUUUACUACUAGGUAUAUACCCCCCAAAAUGUGAAUAUGUGCUCAAUAUACAUGUCCAAGAAGAUUGGUAGCAGAAGAAUUCAUAACAGCCUCAAUCUAGGACUAACCCUAAAGUUCAUCAACACAAGAACAGAUAAAUGUAGUAUCUUCAUAGAACUGAAUAUGACAGAGCAAUGAAAAAGGACAAAUGACAGCUAUGUGAAACAGCAUGCACAGAUAUCAAAGACACAAUGUUGAAGAAAGUAGAUACAAAAGAGGUACAUUUCACAAAACCUCAUUUAUAGAAGUUUAAAUGCCAUCAAAACCAAUCUAUGAAGAAUAUAGAUGCAGAAUAUAUGAGGGUGGAGUGACUAGUGGAGGCAAUUCAUUAGAGAGUCUUUCAUUAGGUUUCUGGAAAUGUUCUGAAUCUUUAUGUCAGUGGUGAUUGCACAGGUGGUGCAACUUUUCAAAAAUGUAUUGAACUGUACACUUUGGAUUUGAGUCUUUUACUGUAGAUAUGUUAUACCUCAUUAAAAAUAGUUUGGAGUCAAACACACACACACAAACAACAACAACAAAAGGAAAGGUAAGUACAGAAGCCUUUAGUUUUCAACUUCAGUGCAGGUCGAUUACUGCAUAUCUGGUAUCUUAUUCUGCACAUUGUCUUUUAUUUCUUCUUUCCUGUUUUCUUUGUACCAUUCCUGGCUUCUCCCUCUCUACUUAUACCGCUAUUGAAUUCCUGUUUGUUGCUUUCAUAUUUUUUCCAUUAUCUCAUUUUACUUCUCAAGUUAUUUAUUUUCCUUAUUCUUCAAAAGGAUCUUGUAAUUUGUGACCUGUCUUGCCCAGUUCACAGCAGCCCCAACAAAAGAUUCUUCUCAAUAUAUAUGCUAUAAAAUCUUUAACAUCCCUGUUCACUUAACCCAAGUUUUUAUGGGACUGUUAGCAUAGGAAGUAUAAUAGAAGCCCACAGUAUGAUUAACCUCCAUUUAUUUCUCUGGUUAUGUGGAUUUCACGUUGUAGUCAUUUUAAAAGCUUGGAGGAGCCUCAUUAACUUUACAAGGCAAGACUGGAUUUACAGAUCCAAUAUCUAUGUGGAGAAAGCAACGCUGCAAGUUCUGUUUUUAUUGGAGGUUCUCUGUUGUCUUUUCUCCCUAAUAUAGAUGUCUUUUAUAAGAUUACUUUUUAUAGAACAAAAGCAACAGGCAAUUUCCAAUUAAACGCAGAUGGUAAGGUUUUUCUUUCUACAGGCACUCAGGUGCAAGGAUCUGCCUCAAAGCCUUUGAAUUUUAUGAGGGGUUAAUGCAGUUAAUGUUUUUUACAUUAUUUUGAAUAUUAAUUACAGUAUAAACAUUGCCCCAAGCCCAUGUUUUAGUUAGCAUAUUUUCAAAACAAAUUCACAUCUUAUAUUAAGUAACCUUUCAAAACAAGUAUAGGAAGAUUAUUACCAGCUCUCAUUUAUUUUUCUUUUCUGCUUUAACUAGCUCGCUUUUCUGGGACUAGACAGUGAAAUAAUUAAAUUCAGUGCUUCUUAUUGGUAUUCAGCUUUGACUAGUGCUUAUCUAUAAGGCUUAACUAUUUGCAGCAUAUGAUGAAGAAACAACCUGGAUCUAUGAUGCAGUCAUCCUUCAGUAUUAGCAAGCCUAAUAAAUAUUUGAUUAGUAGAAGGAGCAAAACAUACUUAACGUAGAAUUAAAUGCCAGUUGAUUGAAAAUAUACAAGAUGUUUCAAUACUACCCACUGUAAUGUGCAACAUUUAUAACUGAUAUGGUAAAGAGAUAAUUGGGUUAUGUGGCGAGGUUUCCUUUUUCUCAAGUUGAGGUAGUGUGUGAAACAUAUACCUCUGUUGCAUCCUAUCUGCUCGCUUUACCAAAUAUUUCCAUUUAUCUUUUGGCGUUGAUGGUAGAAUUGCACAACUCUACAAUUUUCUUGUAAGUUUUGACCAUUUGAUUUGUUUUGCCAGUAAAAUGUGAACAGAAGUACUGCAUAUCACUUCCAGGUGGAAUGCAUUAAGAGUCAAUGUGAAACUUGCCAACUUUUCUCUCUGCCAAGAAUGAAGCCCUGUUCCAGACAGCAGCUGCUCUAGAAGCCUGGGUCUGGGAGUGAGCAGUUUACCCAGACACCCUGUGAUAAUCAACUUGCUUCUGUGAGAUAGAAACUUUUGUGGCUUUAAGCUGCUGAGAUUUGCAGAAUACCAAACAAGAAAGGAAAGGAGGUGUUGAGAAAAUGGUGGAAGAAGUGAGAAGUAAGGAGAAAAAUUCAGCAGAGGGAAGAAUAGAAGUAAGUAGAAGAGGGCAAGAUAACAAAUUUAAUGCAUCCUCCAGCUCUAAGCUUAUAGAUACGAUACCUAUCCUGUCCAUUAAAUAUUAAAUUACUAAAGAAAAUGUUUAUUCAACUACAAUCAACUUCUUUAAAAAAUACGAGUAGGAUUUUUAUGGUACAAUUUCAGGUAUACAUGGUCCACAAGGAGAGAAUAUAUUUGCAUUCUCUAGUACCUUCCUUUUUUGCCUAAAAUAAAAUAUUAGACGAGGAAGAAGACAUAGACAGUUGAGUUGCUACAAUUUUGUUGUGGCUAUUAGCUCUCUAUUACAUUAUCCAAUUGGUUUAAAACAAUCCAAAGAUUGUUUGUGCAGUUAAGAAAUUCUAAUGUCUCUUAGACAUGAAAAAGAGAAAGUUGUUUUUCAAAAAUGAUUUUGUCUUAGAAUUUCCUUGGGCAUUUGCAGACAUUCUCUCCUAAACAAGUUUUCAGACUGCUGCUGCCACCUAGAGAACUAAUUUGAUAUUUCUCUACAGCCAAUAAAGAAAACAACAACCAGACAUUGUUUUUGUUAUUGCAAUGUGCUGUGUGUUGGAGAGAAAAGUAAUAAUCUAUUGUGUCACCCCUUGCAAGGUUCAUGGUUGAGACCUCUAUAACAAAAGACGGAUUAAUAAUAAAAAAUCAUGUAAACUUAUUUUACAUAACACAGGAGGGUUUGGAAAUGAAGACCUAAAGAAACAGGGGAAUAUGUGCAUUUUUAUGGAAAGUCUUGUAACAGAAGGAUUGAAGGACAAAAGAGUGUAAUCUAAUGGUAUUAAACUGAUGGGAACUUAUCAAAGCCUGUUUGUUCAGAUACUUCUCUGUGUUUCUGUGUCUUCAGAGAUAAAAAUGUUCCCUUUUUCCUGGUAUAGGGAGGGCACAUGUGGCUUGAGAAUCUUAUGACAUACUUCAAGGGAAGGUCAGCUAGGUUUUAUCCCACCCUUUGGGAAAGAAGUGAGAGGAGGUCAGAGAGACCUUCCUGCUUUUGCUGUUUUCUCAAAUGCCGAGGUGCCAUAUUUUGAGGCAGGUGUCCUAAACCUGGUCACAUGCAUUCUUAUCAUUUCACAUUAAGUAUUAACCUCCUCAUAUUUUUAUUGUAACAUUGUGUCCUAAAGUUAAAUCAUUUAUAUCUUAAUGUGUCUUAGUGUUAAAUCACUUAUUUGUUACCUGGGUCCUUUAUAUGAUGUAGAGAAUUGAAACCUGGCUUUCUGGGUAAAUUGCUGCAUAGAAUUUCUACAAAUGAAAAGUAGUCUUACUCAUUCCAUCUAACAGUAAAAGUAGCCCAUUCAAAUAAAUAAUAAAUAUUAAUAGUUAUUUGCAUGAUAAUAUUUUCAGAAUAAUGUAAUUCAAAUGCGUUAGUAUUUUCCAGUGUUUAUAUCUUCUUGGACUCACUUUACUGGUACUCAUGUGUCUUGCAAAGGAGGUAUUUAAUAGACUUCAUAUGUAACCCAAAGCAAAAUAUUAUUUGCAUUAAAGAUAUUCAAAAUCAAAUCUUAUAGGCAAUGAUAUCUAUCUAAAUUUGUCAGUCACAGUAAAUAAUAGUGAAUUUAUUUUUGAAUUGUUAGUGAAGUUAGCUACUAAUAUGGAAUAUCUUCUUGAGCUCCAUUUCUGUAGUUUAAAAAAAGGUGAUAUCUUUUUGUUAAUAAGCAUCCUCUUAUUGAGAGACUUCUGUUAUUCACAGAAUUCUAUGCCAAUCAACAGCUGGAUUAGUCAGGGUUCUCUAGAGGGACAGAGCUAAUAGGAUAUAUAUAUAUAUAUGUGUGUGUGUGUAUAUAUGUGUGUGUGUGUGUGUGU